GAAGCUGACCAGACAGUCGCCGCUUCGUCGUCGUCCUCCUUCGGGGGGAGACGGGCGGAGGGGAGGAAAGUCCGGGCUCCAUAGGGCAAGGUGCCAGGUAACGCCUGGGGGGUGUCACAGCCCACGACCAGUGCAACAGAGAGCAAACCGCCGAUGGCCCGCGCAAGCGGGAUCAGGUAAGGGUGAAAGGGUGCGGUAAGAGCGCACCGCGCGGCUGGUAACAGUCCGCGGCACGGUAAACUCCACCGGGAGCAAGGCCAAAUAGGGGUUCAUAAGGUACGGCCCGUACUGAACCCGGGUAGGCUGCUUGAGCCAGUGAGCGAUUGCUGGCCUAGAUGAAUGACUGUCCACGACAGAACCCGGCUUAUCGGUCAGUUUCACCU
rnacentral:RNase_P_RNA from 1 species